rnacentral:tRNA from 4 species
AGGGCAGUAGCUCAGUUGGUAGAGCAGCGGUCUCCAAAACCGCAGGUCGGGGGUUCGAGUCCCUCCUGCCCUG